rnacentral:rRNA from 1 species
AACGUAGGUGGCGAGCGUUGUCCGGAUUUAUUGGGCGUAAAGAGCUCGUAGGCGGCUAUUCACGUCGGAUGUGAAAGCUCAAGGCUCAACCUUGAGAGGCCAUUCGAUACGGGAUAGCUAGAGGUAGGUAGGGGAGAUCGGAAUUCCUGGUGUAGCGGUGAAAUGCGCAGAUAUCAGGAGGAACACCGGUGGCGAAGGCGGCUUCCUGGACAAAAACUGACGCUGAGGCGCGAAAGCUAGGGGAGCAAACAGG